AACGAACGCUGGCGGCAUGCCUAACACAUGCAAGUCGAACGAGACCUUCGGGUCUAGUGGCGCACGGGUGCGUAACGCGUGGGAACCUGCCCUUAGGUUCGGAAUAACUCCCCGAAAGGGGUGCUAAUACCGGAUAAUGUCUUCGGACCAAAGAUUUAUCGCCUUUGGAUGGGCCCGCGUUGGAUUAGCUAGUUGGUAGGGUAAAAGCCUACCAAGGCGACGAUCCAUAGCUGGUCUGAGAGGAUGAUCAGCCACACUGGGACUGAGACACGGCCCAGACUCCUACGGGAGGCAGCAGUGGGGAAUAUUGGACAAUGGGCGAAAGCCUGAUCCAGCAAUGCCGCGUGAGUGAUGAAGGCCUUAGGGUUGUAAAGCUCUUUUACCCGGGAUGAUAAUGACAGUACCGGGAGAAUAAGCGCCGGCUUACUCCGUG
rnacentral:rRNA from 1 species